rnacentral:rRNA from 1 species
ACGACCAAAGGUAGUGGAAAAUACGGGAUCCCGUCCGCUCUCCCAUAGUCAAGCCACUAACCGGCGGAUUAGUAGUUGGGUCGGUGACGACCA